rnacentral:tRNA from 1 species
CGUGGAACCAGAAUAGGAACCGAAUAAUCAAAAUUUGGUCGGCAGCAUACCCCCCUGAAAACGAGAGG